rnacentral:lncRNA from 1 species
UAUAUAUAUAACAGCUUACUUCUAUCAAGAACUGCGAUUCUUUUUUUAUUACCUUUUCCUCAUUUUCAUAAAAAAAAAAAAAAUAAACAAAAAACUUGGUGGCAUACAGUAGUAACUGUAUACAUUUUUAAAAAAAAAAAAAAAAAAAAAAAAAAAAAACCUAUGUGCAUUCAUUUUUAUGUUUACAGUUUCGAGGCAAAGUAUCAAAAAGAAUUGUCUAUUAUUCAUCUUUAAUUGCACAAUGUAAUAAUAGCAUAUCUUCUCAUGAAAAUUCAGAUGAAAGUGUUGAUGAAGAUGUUAAGGAAAAACUUCAAUACCAUAUAAAAACUCUUGGGAACUAUAAAAGAGAACUAAGUAAAUGGUGGAUGGAACAUAAAAAGAAUUAUUAUCGUUUAUGUGUACAUAAUAUUUUAGAUAAAAAAAAAAGGUAAACAAAAGAGCUUUUUUUUUUUUUUUUUUUUAGUUUAAAACAAUUUUCUAGUUUUUAAUCAUGCGAUAGUAUAUAUUAUAUAUAUUUGUGUGUGUUCAACAUAAAUGCACAUAUGAUCACCCUUAUGUUGGCGCUUUACUUUAUUCAUCCCUUUUCUUUAGUGAGAGUCAUGGUAGUAUAAAAACAAGUGACACAGAUGUAAAUGACUUACAUUUAAAAGACACGAAAAAUAUGAUGAUAAAUGAAAUUAACAGAAUGAAAAAUGCAAAAUCACAAUUAUUAGAAUCUUCUCACAUAUUAGAAAAACAAGACAAAGUAUUUACUAUGUUCGAGUCAAAGUUAAAAUCAAGCGCACAACUUAUAUUAUCUAUAAGGAAAAAGUACUAUUAUAAGAAAAAAAAAAUAAAUAAAUAAAAAAAGGGUUAUAUAUUUUAUUCAUUAACCAUUUUACAUUAUGACGAUUCGUGUUCCCAUGUUGUCACCUCUGAUAAAUAUAUAUAUAAUUCUCUUAUAUAUUUGGUAUUUACACUUUUCUUAAUUUUUAGAGCAGAAAAAGACUCGAAAUAUGUUUGGUACUCGUUUUUUUUCUUUAUAAGCGUCUGUUGUUAUAUAAUAUUACGUAGAUUGGGUUUCAUAAGAGCUAUCAUAACUGUAAAACACAAAAAUGUUUCAAAUAUGCACAUAUAUAUAACCACACUUAUAAAUGAACAAUAUGAAACAAAGCUUGAUGCCUAUUAUUCCUCAAUUAUAUAACCCUUUUCUGUAAUCGUUGUUAAUCUUUUUAAUUUUAAUUUAAUUUUUUUUUUUUUUUUUUUUUCAGCUUAUUAAACUUUUAUUUUUCGCCAUAUUCUAUUUAUUAAAAUUUUGCGUCCGAGUGUUUUAUUUAUUUAAAAUAAAAAAUGAAAAAAAUGAUUUUAGCA